GACGAACGCUGGCGGCGUGCUUAACACAUGCAAGUCGAACGGAAAGGCCCUGCUUUUGGGGGGUGCUCGAGUGGCGAACGGGUGAGUAACACGUGAGUAACCUGCCCUUGACUUUGGGAUAACUUCAGGAAACUGGGGCUAAUACCGGAUAGGAGCUCCUGCUGCAUGGUGGGGGUUGGAAAGUUUCGGCGGUUGGGGAUGGACUCGCGGCCUAUCAGCUUGUUGGUGGGGUAGUGGCUUACCAAGGCUUUGACGGGUAGCCGGCCUGAGAGGGUGACCGGCCAAAUUGGGACUGAGAUACGGCCCAGACUCCUACGGGAGGCAGCAGUGGGGAAUAUUGCACAAUGGGCGGAAGCCUGAUGCAGCAACGCCGUGUGCGGGAUGACGGCCUUCGGGUUGUAAACCGCUUUCGCCUGUGACGAAGCGUGAGUGACGGUAAUGGGUAAAGAAGCACCGGCUAACUACGUG
rnacentral:rRNA from 1 species